rnacentral:rRNA from 1 species
GACGAACGCUGGCGGCGUGCUUAACACAUGCAAGUCCAACGGAAAGGCCCUGCUUUUGUGGGGUGCUCGAGUGGCGAACAGGUGAGUAACACGUGAGUAACCUGCCCUUGACUGUGUGAUAACUUCAGGAGACUGGGGCUAAUACCGGGUAUGAGCUCCUGCUGCAUGGUGGUGGUUGGAAAGUGUCGGCGGUUGGGGAUGGACUCGCUGCUUAUCAGCUGGUUUGGGUGGUAGUGGCGUACCACGGCUUUGACGGGUAGCCGGCCUGAGAGGGUGACCGGCGACAUUGGGACUGAGAUACGGCCCAGACUCCUACGGGAGGCAGCAGUGGAGAAUAUUGCACAGUGGGCGGAAGCCUGAUGCAGCAGUGCCGCGUGCGGGAUGACGGCCUUCGGGUUGUAAACCGCUUUCGCCUGUGACGAACCGUGCGUGACGGUAAUGGGUCAAGAAGCACCGGCUAACUACGUG